AGGCAGCAGCAAGGUAUUUUCGGCAAUGGGCGCAAGCUGACCGAGCAACGCCGCGUGCGGGAUGACGGCCUUCGGGUUGUAAACCGCUUUUCGGGGGGACGAUGAUGACGGUACCCCCGGAAUCAGCCCCGGCUAACUCUGUGCCAGCAGCCGCGGUAAGACAGAGGGGGCGAGCGUUGUCCGGAGUCACUGGGCGUAAAGCGCGCGCAGGCGGCAACCUCAGUGUCGUGUGAAAGCCCCCGGCUCAACCGGGGGAGGCCAUGGCAAACUGGGUCGCUCGAGCUGCGGAGAGGCCCCUCGAAUUGCCGGUGUAGCGGUGAAAUGCGUAGAGAUCGGCAGGAAGACCAAGGGGGAAGCCAGGGGGCUGGCCGCAGUGACGCUGAGGCGCGACAGUGGGGGAGCAAACCGGAUUAGAUACCCGGGUAGUCCACGCCGUAAACGAUGACCACUCGGCGUGCGGCGACUAUUGACGUCGCGGCGCGCCCUAGCUCACGCGAUAAGUGGUCGCCUGGGAACUACGAGCGCAAGCAUUAAAACUCAAAGAAAUUGACGGGGGCCCGCACAAGCAGCGGAGCGUGUGGUUUAAUUCGACGCAACCCGAAGAACCUUACCCAGACUGGACAUGACGGUGCAGACGGAGAAAACGCCGUCGCCUGCGAGGGUCCGUCACAGGUGCUGCAUGGCUGUCGUCAGCUCGUGUCGUGAGAUGUUGGGUUAAGUCCCGCAACGAGCGCAACCCUGCGGUUAGUUACCCGUGUCUAACCGGACUGCCUUCGGGGAGGAAGGCGGGGAUGACGUAAAGUCCGCAUGGCCCUUACGUCUGGGGCGACACACACGCUACAAUGGCGCCGACAAUGCGUCGCUCCCGCGCAAGCGGUUGCUAAUCGCCAAACGGCGCCCCAGUGCAGAUCGGGGGCUGCAACUCGCCCCCGUGAAGGCGGAGUUGCUAGUAAC
rnacentral:rRNA from 1 species